AAAGAUUUGGGGUGAGCUCCUGACAUUUAUAGUAUUCUUCCUCUCCCUCGUAUUGAGUAGACUAAUCUUUAUUUUGUAUUUUAGAGAUAGUUAUACAAGUAUAUUCAUUCUGUAUUUCUCUUUAAAUUUUGAUUAUACUAGAAGCUCUUUUUCAAAUUUUACUAGGUCUUGGGGGUUGCUAUAUUAGUCUAUUAUUUAGAUUUAUUUUAGCUAUUUUGUUUUAUUCUCUUGAUAAUCCC
rnacentral:lncRNA from 1 species